UCGGCGGCUCUUGCCUUUCGCCUCUCAGCGCUCGCCGCGGACAGCGGGGGGAAAGGGAUGCAAAAAAGGCUUUGGAGAAGGGGAAAAAAGGAGCAGAGGAUAAGGGCACUCUGCAGUGGCUUAGACUUGGCCCUUGGCACGCACGUGGCAGAGCCUGCAGUCAGGUCCUUUUUCUCCAGCCUUCCCGGCAGCACCACGCCAUGGCACAUGCCUAAGGGCAGGAUCACUGAUUUUUGAUCAAAAAUACAUUGCAUCCACGAU